CGGGUUAAGUCCCAUAACGAGCGCAACCCUUAUCGUUAGUUGCCAUCUGGUAAUGCAGGGGACUCUAGCGAAACUGCCACCGUAAGGUGAGAGGAAGGUGGGGAUGACGUCAAAUCAGCACGGCCCUUAUGUCCAGGGCUACACACGUGUUACAAUGGUCGGUACAGAGGGCAGCUACCUGGUGACAGGAUGCUAAUCUCGAAAACCGGUCUCAGUUCGGAUCGAAGUCUGCAACUCGACUUCGUGAAGCUGGAUUCGCUAGUAAUCGCGCAUCAGCUAUGGCGCGGUGAAUACGUUCCCGGGCCUU
rnacentral:rRNA from 1 species